rnacentral:rRNA from 1 species
GACGAACGCUGGCGGCGUGCUUAACACAUGCAAGUCGAACGAUGAAGCCGGAGCUUGCUCCGGUGGAUUAGUGGCGAACGGGUGAGUAACACGUGAGCAAUCUGCCCUUGACUCUGGGAUAACUGCGGGAAACUGUAGCUAAUACCGGAUACGACACCUUGGGGCAUCCCAGGGUGUGGAAAGAAUUUCGGUCAAGGAUGAGCUCGCGGCCUAUCAGCUAGUUGGUGAGGGAAUGGCUCACCAAGGCGACGACGGGUAGCCGGGCUGCGAGGGUGGCAGGCCACACGGGAACUGAGACACGGUGCAGAAGGCUACGGGAGGCAGCGGGGGGGAAUAUUGCACAAUGGGCGAAAGCCUGAUGCAGCAGCGCCGCGUGAGGGAUGAAGGCCUUCGGGUUGUAAACCUCUUUUAGCAGGGAAGAAGCGAAAGUGACGGUACCUGCAGAAAAAGCACCGGCUAACUACGUGCCAGCCGCCGCAGUAA